UACGAAGGGGGCUAGCGUUGUUCGGAAUUACUGGGCGUAAAGCGCGCGUAGGCGGUGAUCUAUGUCAGGGGUGAAAUCCCGGGGCUCAACUCCGGAAUUGCCUUUGAAACGGGAUCGCUAGAGUCCGAGAGAGGAUGGCGGAAUUCCUAGUGUAGAGGUGAAAUUCGUAGAUAUUAGGAAGAACACCGGUGGCGAAGGCGGCCAUCUGGCUCGGUACUGACGCUCAGGCGCGAAAGCGUGGGGAGCAAACAGG
rnacentral:rRNA from 1 species